CCCGCCUCGAGUCUCGCACGUCCCCAGCACUGUGCUGCCUCAGGGCCUUGGCUCUGCCCUCGCGUCCCCUCACUGCCGCCCUGCCCCGCACAGCGCCGUCCCUGCGCCGCCGCCUGCCCUGAAACGGCCUCAGGUCGCGGGGGUGUUUUAAACCCCUUAACCCCUGGGCCAAGCUGCACAGCUCUGAGCCCCUUGCCAUGGUCACCAUGAGGGGCUGCUUCCUCACCCCAAGUGCCUGGAGGAAGGCACGGCCUGCAGGAGAACUAUGGAAUGGGAGCUGGCAGGCCACAGCCCCUGGAGACCCCAUGGAGCCCCUGGUGGGGGCACCUCCCAGUGCUGGAGGCCUUGGGUCAUCGGGUGAAGAUGACAGGACAAGCAAGUGCAGGCUGCAGACACCCUCAGGUGUGCAGGGCAGACCUAAUCCAUGACACUGGUGAGCCUAAGGUGGUCACACCUGGAAGAGGUCCUCGCUCCUGCAGUUGCUCAACGCACAGCCAUCGCCAGCCACACAGACUGCAGAGAGGCCCUGCUGGAAUGGAGAGUCCCCACUGGUCACCCCACUGGGCCCUGUGGGACAGAGGCACCCAAAUUUCAGGGAACUGUCCUGUGCUGCUCCUUAGACUCAGCACGAGUGUGGCUGUGGCCACGCGGGAGAAGGGCCUGCAGUGCAGAAACCCGAGAGGCGGACGAUGACGCCCAGAGGCUGGCCCAGUGCCCAGACAGAGCCAGGCCUGGGCUGUCUCCCGUGGGCUCAGUUCCAGGGCCUGUGGCCUGGCCGAGUCACUGCCACUCUCUGAGCCUCAGUCUCCCUACCUGUAAACAAAGGUUAGGGCAGUCGGGGCAUCAGAGCAAUAACUGGCUGGAAUGAUUUGCUGAUCCCCGGACCCCAGCCUGGAAGGGAAGAGGCCAGGUCCAGGUCCAAGCCUGGGCCCGGUGGCUCCUGAGCCUCUCUGACCUUCUGUCUUCCUCUGGACAACCGAGGCUGCCUCCUGGGUUUGUUGGGGAUUAAAUGUGCACAUGUGACCAAGGUGUGAGCACAGAGCCUGGCACAGGGGUACCCUGACAGGAGGAGUCAUUACUGUGUUUGGGAGAGAACCCCCAUAAUUGGAGAGUUCCUGACAUUUUCUUUUUAAAAACUGGCUUUCCGAAGGCACAUUUCUCAUCCAGGCCUCUGAGGCUGCCCGGCCUCCCCAGCAUUGGGGUCCUCUUCUGGGCUGGGGUGAUGCAGCCCGAUGCUCUCGGCGGGGGGGGGCUGUGGGCAGCGGUGCACCCCCUCGGGCGUCUCUGGGCUGUGGUGGGGUAAGCAGCCCCAGGGAUGGCUGUGCCGCAGGAGGCCCCUCCAGGCAGAUGUGUCCCCGGGUGGGGGGCUUUCCUCGAUGGUCCCUCUGGACAUGCUCCAGGAAUGCCCCUUCUCCAUCGGGUCUCGCCCCUCCCUGCCCUGUGAGGUCGCCACGUGAGCUCUGGAAGGGAAUGCUGCUGUCCCGGGGGGGCACUGAGGACCAGGCUCAGGUGUGCCAGGGGCCUUCCAUGGGCUGGGCAUGGUGCUGGCUGUCCACGCACAGGACCCCAAUCCUGGAGGGGGACGAUCCUGGAUGAUGAAGCUGAGGCUCAGGGCAGUGAGUGGAGUGAACCUCAAAGGGGCAGGCUGGGGGCUCUGGCGCUGCUGAUGCAGAGGACCCUCGUCACAGCUGGGAAGCCACCCAGAGGAGGUGAGCAGCUCUCCGGGGGCACACAGCACGUUGGGGGCCAAGUGGCCCAGGCCUGGGGGCAGCUCCCUGGGGGGCAGGUACCAAGGGACCCCCUCAUCAUCUAGCAUCACACACACGUGACCUGGUCCCACCUGCUAGAGGAGGAAAUGGGGCCCAGCAGCAAG